rnacentral:rRNA from 1 species
AGUGAACGCUGGCGGUAGGCCUAACACAUGCAAGUCGAACGGCAGCACAGGAGAGCUUGCUCUCUGGGUGGCGAGUGGCGGACGGGUGAGGAAUACACCGGAAUCUACUUUUUCGUGGGGGAUAACGUAGGGAAACUUACGCUAAUACCGCAUACGACCUACGGGUGAAAGCAGGGGAUCUUCGGACCUUGCGCGAUUGAAUGAGCCGAUGUCGGAUUAGCUAGUUGGCGGGUUAAAGGCCCACCAAGGCGACGAUCCGUAGCUGGUCUGAGAGGAUGAUCAGCCACACUGGAACUGAGACACGGUCCAGACUCCUACGGGAGGCAGCAGUGGGGAAUAUUGGACAAUGGGUGCAAGCCUGAUCCAGCCAUACCGCGUGGGUGAAGAAGGCCUUCGGGUUGUAAAGCCCUUUUGUUGGGAAAGAAAUCCAGCUGGUUAAUACCCGGUUGGGAUGACGGUACCCAAAGAAUAAGCACCGGCUAACUUCGUGCCAGCAGCCGCAGUAA